ACAGGAGUGCCUGAUUAAAGGAUUAUCUUGAUAGGAUAAAUAAACUAAUUUUAAAUUACCUCCAUUA
rnacentral:tRNA from 1 species